UGCACUUAGGUUAAAUCACAAAAAUCUGCAGAAUUUAUUACAGGAUAUAUUUGAAACAUCUACAGCCACUUGUCUACAUCCUUCGGCAACGACAAGUACUUCAAGGUGGAAUAUAUGAGAUUCAAAAAAACGAAAUUUUCUUAAUAGCUGACGAAUUCCUGUAUUUGACAGAUUAAGAAAAAUCAGAUGAUAAAAGUAAUGUUUAUAAAGAUGUCCUCAAUUUGGUAAUGAAAGUAAGUCUGUAGUCAGCAAAAUGCAAAUAGAUAAGGGAAAAAAUAAGUAGGGAAUCUUAUAAUAACGUAUCUGAUAAUAAGUUUUUUUUUAUUAAAAUGAUAAGCCUAUAUCAGAUGAGAGAUAUGACUGAAAGCCUAUACCGAAAGGAAGUAAACCGCCACAUUAAUGUAGUUUAGAGUUUAGAAUCAUUUACAGGUCGAUUUAGAAGAAAAACUUGACGAUGAGAUUUAAAAAAACUAAAAAAAUUCAGCUACAAGAAAGUGAUACAAUUUAUGGUUAACCACUGUUAUUCAAAGGACAUAACGACAUCAUUCGCAUUGAAACUUUGAAAACUCGAAACCGAAAAUUAAAAAAAAAUAAUAUGCUUUGGAUAUAAGACAAAUAUUUAAAAAAAUGCUUCUUGAUUUCACAUAGGAAAUUGUAAUCUUUGUGAUGGAUCUCACUCUACAAAAAAUAGCAAUAUAAAAUGGUUUGUGGGAACAGAACCAAUUGAAACAUCGGAAAACAAUACAUCUAUAGAUAUCAGUGCUUUAAGUUGUAGAGCAAUUACAUCAAAUUUAAAGGAAGUUUCAACUAUUUUGACUAAUAUCAUAGACGAAGAAUCUCUUAAUAAGAAAGAACCACAAAAAAAGUUUACCAAAAUGCGAAAUACAGUAUUACAAAUAUGAACCUUAGUACAGUUUUAAGAACGCAGUCAAAUUUAGCUAUGCAAAUCACCAAAGUCAGCUGUGGGCAUAUUAGCCCUCAGUGGCAUUUUGCCCGUUCCG
rnacentral:lncRNA from 1 species